GUCCAUUUCUGGAACUGCUAUUUGUGUAUUGCAUGAUAUUUUAUCAGGGAAAAAAAAAAAUAAAACUGAGAUCCAAUUUCAUGAAAAUGCUGUUGCCGUAUGCCCAGGAGGACAGGGGGAGGAGAGAAUCAAGUCUUCCUCCAUCUACCUCACGCGCAGUGAAAACAGAAUUUUCUGACAUUUUCUUCCCAGAAUUCAACAAAAGACGUUUCACACUUCUGCAGAAACACAGCUUUUGUCCUUGGUGGAUCCAACAUUAUUCCUCAUGAUAUGUACAUAUCACACACCUCCCCUUAGGACCAGAAGACUUUACAAAAGAGGGGAAGGAUAGAAUGUAAGAACCAUACGUGAAUGAUGACUUCAAGAAAACAGUAUUUUCUGGACCCAACAAUAUGGUCACACAUAUGAAGCCACAGAGCUUGUAAUGGCAUACACAAGAUUUGCACAAGCUGAAGAUCAGCCAAAACUCCCAGCAUGGAAGUGGCCACAAAAUUCCACGACAAGCUGAAGAGCUAUUAACAUUGGGACAGCUGCUAGGAGAAGGAGGGUUUUCUUGAAGAAGUUAUCCCUGAAACUGGAAUUGCUUGAAAGAAACAAAAGAAAAAAUUCAAGUCAAGUUCAGUAGGGGGGGGUAGAGGUGGUAUGAGUGGAUCGGAGUGGAGUGGAGUGUGGGGGAGAGUCAAUGUGAUCAAAGUGCACUGUAUGAAAGUCUCAAGGUAUUAAUAAAAUAUUACUU
rnacentral:lncRNA from 1 species